CUCAAGGGGAUAAGCCCCAGUCACAGUUCAGCAGCGUCUUGCCUCUGCCAAUGCUACGGGCACACGUGACCAUCCUACCCUGGCACCAUCACCUCAGGUAACUAUCCACAGACAGGAGGAAGGAGAUGCCCACAGAAUCUCCCUCUCAAGAGACCAGGCUGUGUCUGUAUCUCAGGAGUGCCAUGAAGUCUAAAUUCCGGGCUCCAGACACUCUCUCCUAUUUGAACAGUGCCUGGAUCUGCUGGAUCAAGGAAUGACCAAGCAGAGCAAGGAAGGGAUGAGUUCCCUGGGGAGAGCGGUUUUGAGCUGAGUGAUUUCCAGCGUGUCCCAGUGUGGAGAGGUGCUCCUGAGUGUCACAGGUGCCACCAGGCUGCAGUCCUCACUCCACAAUGUCAUUAAUUAUCAAUACAAUAACAGCCACCAACUGCUGAAUGCCUGUGAUGUACAUGCUUACCUGACUGGAUCAUGAAAACUCUCCCAGAGGCCUGGUUUCCGGUGCCGGGGCUGUGAUGAUCAACCAGGUGGCAGAGCAGUGACGGAACAGGCAAGACUGCUGGUGGCACAGUCAGGCGGAGCGGCCAGUGCAGCAGAGCAUCACGGAGGGCGUCGGAGGAAGAGCUGGUACGUGCAGGCUGCCUCCCGAAGGUGGGACGUGGGGGUAGGCUCUGGGAGAUGGGCAGGAGCCCCUCAUUUGUAGGGUGGGGACACCCUGACCUACCUCUCGGGGCUAUCAGAGACCGAAGACGCUCUCACGCCUGAGCGGUGUCCCCAGCCCAGCCAGCGCGGGCACUGCGGGGAGAAGGGACUGCAUGGACAGAGGCUGGAAGACAGGACACUGAUGAAGGGCACUCAGCAGCGAACUCCCCAAACGACUGCAAAACCAACAGUGAAAAGAAAGACGGAGGGGAGGCACCACCAGCCACUUCCCGAGCCCCUACCAUGCUUGCGGGGCCCCGAGCUAUGGUGGCUUGAUCUCAAGAUCAGCCCCCUCCCAAGGCAGACAUUUGCUUCUGUGGCUUCUAUCCCCACUGGACAUGUUACAGGCAUCGCCUUCCUUUCUGUGGUUUACGAAGUCCAGUUGGUACCAAGCAUGGGGUCACCCAGGUGGCGACGCGGGUGCUGACAAGUCUGAUGUGACUCAUCACCGAUAGAGCAGAAUUCACGGCAACGAAGAGCUCAGACUGCACAGUCGGGCCAACCUGGGUGUGACCUGGGCCGGAUCUGCCCUGCCCUGGGCCUCAGUUUCCCAUUGGUCACUUGGGGUUAAUAAAAGUCCCACCCUGGAGGGGUUGCUGUGAUGAUUAAAUGGAAUGAUGCCAGUGAAGGGUGCGGCGCACAGCCAGUGCUCGAAGCACCUCAGCCGUCGCUACUGCUACGAAGCCCCGAAGACCUCAGAUGAGAAACCCGAGCCUCACGUGGCUUCCCGGGAUCAUGCAAAUCUGCCCCCUCCUUCCUAGCAUCUGCCGCGACUCUGUUCCGAGAUUGCUCUCUCCCCCCAUUGUCAUGUCACAUCGGUCCAUAAAUAUUUAAACAACAUGUCAUCGGAUUAUUAUAACAUAUGAUCUAUAGCACUGAUGUGCUGCAGUUCUGCGCAUUUGGGCUGUGUUUUCAGAAUAUCGAGACAUAAAAUAUUUAUGUAUUUA